rnacentral:rRNA from 1 species
CCUACGGGAGGCAGCAGUGGGGAAUUUUGGACAAUGGGGGCAACCCUGAUCCAGCCAUGCCGCGUGUCUGAAGAAGGCCUUCGGGUUGUAAAGGACUUUUGUUAGGGAGCAAGUCCUGCAGGUUAAGAGCUAGUAGGGAUGAGAGUACCUGAAGAAUAAGCACCGGCUAACUACGUGCCAGCAGCCGCGGUAAUACGUAGGGUGCGAGCGUUAAUCGGAAUUACUGGGCGUAAAGCGUGCGCAGGCGGUUAUGUAAGACAGGCGUGAAAUCCCCGGGCUUAACCUGGGAAUUGCGCUUGUGACUGCAUAGCUAGAGUGUGUCAGAGGGGGGUAGAAUUCCACGUGUAGCAGUGAAAUGCGUAGAGAUGUGGAGGAAUACCAAUGGCGAAGGCAGCCCCCUGGGAUAACACUGACGCUCAUGCACGAAAGCGUGGGGAGCAAACAGGAUUAGAUACCCUGGUAGUCCACGCCCUAAACGAUGCUGACUAGUUGUUCGGGAAUUUAUUCCUGAGUAACGUAGCUAACGCGUGAAGUCAGCCGCCUGGGGAGUACGGUCGCAAGAUUAAAACUCAAAGGAAUUGACGG